rnacentral:rRNA from 1 species
CUGCUGCCUUCCGUAGGAGUUUGGGCCGUGUCUCAGUCCCAAUGUGGCCGUCCACCCUCUCAGGCCGGCUACUGAUCGUCGCUUUGGUAGGCCGUUACCCUGCCAACUGGCUAAUCAGACGCGGGCCCAUCUUAUACCACCGGAGUUUUUCACCCUGGGCCAUGCGGCCCUGGGCGCUUAUGCGGUCUUAGCACCUAUUUCUAAGUGUUAUCCCCCUGUAUAAGGCAGGUUACCCACGCGUUACUCACCCGUCCGCCACUAAAGUAAAAA